UACGAAGGGGGCUAGCGUUGCUCGGAAUGACUGGGCGUAAAGGGCGCGUAGGCGGCUUGCACAGUCAGGCGUGAAAUUCCUGGGCUCAACCUGGGGACUGCGCUUGAGACGUGUGGGCUUGAGUGGGGAAGAGGGUCGUGGAAUUCCCAGUGUAGAGGUGAAAUUCGUAGAUAUUGGGAGGAACACCAAUGGCGAAGGCAGCUCUCUGGUACAUGAUUGACGCUGAGACGCGAAAGCGUGGGGAGCGAACAGG
rnacentral:rRNA from 1 species